UUUCAAGGUUCCUGGGUUCACGCAGAACUCCGUGGGACCUCCAAAUGAUAGAACCUAGUGGGGAAACCCCCACUCAAUUCCCGAUUCGGCGUGCACCCAAAAAAAUCACGAAGGACC
rnacentral:pre_miRNA from 7 species